UACGGAGGGUGCAAGCGUUAUCCGGAUUCACUGGGUUUAAAGGGAGCGCAGGCGGAUUUGUAAGUCAGUGGUGAAAGGCUUAAGCUUAACUUGGGAACUGCCAUUGAUACUAUAAGUCUUGGAUGUUGUUGAGGUUUGCGGAAUGGGUCAUGUAGCGGUGAAAUGCAUAGAUAUGACCCGGAACACCUAUUGCGAAGGCAGCAGGCUAAACAAAUAUUGACGCUGAGGCUCGAAAGCGUGGGGAUCAAACAGG
rnacentral:rRNA from 1 species